rnacentral:rRNA from 1 species
CCCUUAGAUGUUCUGGGCUGCACGCGCGCUACACUGACAAAGUCAGCGAGUACUACCUUGGCCGAGAGGCCUGGGAAAUCUUGUGAAACUUUGUCGUGCUGGGGAUAGAUCAUUGCAAUUAUUGGUCUUGAACGAGGAAUUCCUAGUAAGCGCAAGUCAUCAGCUUGCGUUGAUUACGUCCCUGCCCUUUGUACACACCGCCCGUCGCUACUACCGAUUGAAUGGCUUAGUGAGGCCUUUGGAUCUGCCAUUAGGCGCAAGCUUGAUGGUGUGAGAAAUUGGACAAACUUGGUCAUUUAGAGGAAGUAAAAGUCGUANCA